CCGGAGUACUUCCCCAUCUGACAUCAGCUGCAAACAAGAAGAAUAUCCUUUUAUGAUUUUUCAGGCAAAAUGACUAGCAAAGAACUGCACAGAUUACAGAGUCUGCUGAUGACCUUUGCAUUUUCAUGGGAAGCAGCAGCAUAAAUAAGCUGAAGACUUAUGAACAUAGAGCACUAAAAAGGGAAGAAGAUCAAGAUCCUUCACCAAUGAACACCUAUGAAGAGUUUCUUGAUACCUCAGGGCAUCCAUGUCAGACCCAAAAAGAAUAUUAUCACGUAUUGUCCCUGUUUGGAUCCAAGCUAUCUGGG